rnacentral:pre_miRNA from 1 species
AAUAGAUGACGCCGUUGACUUUUUCUCACAUGUUUGACCAUUCGUCUUAUUCAAAAAAUUUAUGUAAUUAUAAUUUAUCUUGUUAUGAGUUGUUUUACCACUCAUAGUACUUUAAGUGUGAUUAUAUCUAUACAUUGUAUAAAAUUUUUGAAUAAGACGAAUGGUUAAACAUGUGAGAAAAAGUCAACGGGCGUCAUCUAUU